rnacentral:rRNA from 1 species
GACGAACCGUCCAAACGUUAUUCGGAAUUAUUGGGCUUAAAGGGUGCGUAGGCUGUGCAGUAAGUUGGGUGUGAAAUCCCUCGGCUCAACCGAGGAACUGCGCCGAAUACUGCUGUGCUAGAGGGAGAUAGGGGUAAGCGGAACUGAUGGUGGAGCGGUGAAAUGCGUUGAUAUCAUCAGGAACACCGGUGGCAAAGGCGGCUUACUGGAUCUCUUCUGACGCUGAUGCACGAAAGCUAGGGGAGCGAACGGG